ACCAUAUUUAGUGUUCGAGGUUCUUUCGAUUCUCAGUACGAAUCGAAAGCUAAGACGGGAAUGCGGUGCGCCGGACCAGAGAUGGUCGGGCAAUGCCGAAGCUGCCCCCGCAACUGUAAGCGGCGAGCAUUUAUCCAGUGAAAGCCACUGAAACAUCAUGUUUCGGGAAGGCGAGGAUGGAUGCAACGACCCGCGAGCCAGGAGACCUGCCUCAAACGAAAACGUCCA
rnacentral:ncRNA from 2 species